GACGAACCGUGCGAACGUUGUUCGGAAUCACUGGGCUUAAAGGGCGCGUAGGCGGGCCAUAAAGUCAGGGGUGAAAUCCUCCAGCUUAACUGGAGAACUGCCUUUGAUACUGAUGGUCUCGAGUAAGGUAGGGGCAUGCGGAACUGAUGGUGGAGCGGUGAAAUGUGUUGAUAUCAUCAGGGAACUCCGGUGGCGAAGGCGGCAUGCUGGACCUUCACUGACGCUGAGGCGCGAAAGGCUAGGGGAGCGAACGGG
rnacentral:rRNA from 1 species